UGGUGGGUAGUUUGACUGGGGCGGUCUCCUCCUAAAGAGUAACGGAGGAGCACGAAGGUUGGCUAAUCCUGGUCGGACAUCAGGAGGUUAGUGCAAUGGCAUAAGCCAGCUUGACUGCGAGCGUGACGGCGCGAGCAGGUGCGAAAGCAGGUCAUAGUGAUCCGGUGGUUCUGAAUGGAAGGGCCAUCGCUCAACGGAUAAAAGGUACUCCGGGGAUAACAGGCUGAUACCGCCCAAGAGUUCAUAUCGACGGCGGUGUUUGGCACCUCGAUGUCGGCUCAUCACAUCCUGGGGCUGAAGUAGGUCCCAAGGGUAUGGCUGUUCGCCAUUUAAAGUGGUACGCGAGCUGGGUUUAGAACGUCGUGAGACAGUUCGGUCCCUAUCUGCCGUGGGCGCUGGAGAACUGAGGGGGGCUGCUCCUAGUACGAGAGGACCGGAGUGGACGCAUCACUGGUGUUCGGGUUGUCAUGCC
rnacentral:rRNA from 8 species